AGAGUUUGAUCCUGGCUCAGAACGAACGCUGGCGGCAUGCCUAACACAUGCAAGUCGAACGAGACCUUCGGGUCUAGUGGCGCACGGGUGCGUAACGCGUGGGAAUCUGCCCUUGGGUUCGGGAUAACAGUUGGAAACGACUGCUAAUACCGGAUGAUAUCUUCGGAUCAAAGAUUUAUCGCCCAGGGAUGAGCCCGCGUAGGAUUAGCUUGUUGGUGAGGUAAAAGCUCACCAAGGCGACGAUCCUUAGCUGGUCUGAGAGGAUGAUCAGCCACACUGGGACUGAGACACGGCCCAGACUCCUACGGGAGGCAGCAGUGGGGAAUAUUGGACAAUGGGCGAAAGCCUGAUCCAGCAAUGCCGCGUGAGUGAUGAAGGCCUUAGGGUUGUAAAGCUCUUUUACCCGGGAUGAUAAUGACAGUACCGGGAGAAUAAGCCCCGGCUAACUCCGUGCCAGCAGCCGCGGUAAUACGGAGGGGGCUAGCGUUGUUCGGAAUUACUGGGCGUAAAGCGCGCGUAGGCGGCUUUGUAAGUUAGAGGUGAAAGCCCGGAGCUCAACUCCGGAAUUGCCUUUAAGACUGCAUCGCUAGAAUCAUGGAGAGGUGAGUGGAAUUCCGAGUGUAGAGGUGAAAUUCGUAGAUAUUCGGAAGAACACCAGUGGCGAAGGCGACUCACUGGACAUGUAUUGACGCUGAGGUGCGAAAGCGUGGGGGAGCAAACAGGAUUAGAUACCCUGGUAGUCCACGCCGUAAACGAUGAUGACUAGCUGUCGGGGCUCUUAGAGUUUCGGUGGCGCAGCUAACGCGUUAAGUCAUCCGCCUGGGGAGUACGGUCGCAAGAUUAAAACUCAAAGGAAUUGACGG
rnacentral:rRNA from 1 species